GCGCUUGUAGCUUAAUGGAUAGAGCAUCGGCCUUCUAAGCCGAGGGUUGUAGGUUCGAAUCCUACCAGGCGUG
rnacentral:tRNA from 1 species